AGGAAGGGCUCCGGCUCCACAAGAGCGCGGCCCGCGCGGGGCAUCCUGGGUAAAAAGUGGCCGCGCCGCACCGGGAGAGCCGAGAGGAGCCGAGGAUAGCGAUAGAGAUCAACUUUAGACCUAAAUCGAACACCACUCUCUUCCCAUGGAACAGUACCUACUACACGGUCUGUGCGCAGACUUCUUUAAACAACAAGAAAGUCUCCCUCUUUUUUUGGGUGUUCCCAGUAGCUGAAAGUGGAAGACAGUGAUUGGCUCCAGGGUUCCAAGGAGGAGGAUUUGGGCUGAAGCCAAGGGAACGGAACCAGAGGAGUCCCUUUCCAGGGACCAUCCCACUGCUUCUGUGUCAUCUCCCUCUUACUCUGGGUGCUCAGGAUUUUACUGUAUCUUCAGCAGACCCUAGCUAGGCCUCAACACUCAGUAUAAUCACUUGUUUCUCCAAAUUUGGCCUCCGUGUAAAAUAAACAAAAAACUUGGGUAAUCCC
ensembl:processed_transcript 1810059C17Rik RIKEN cDNA 1810059C17 gene